GGAGAGGUGCCGGAGCGGCCGAUCGGGGCGGUCUCGAAAACCGUUGUGGCGCUAGUCGUCACCGUGGGUUCGAAUCCCACCCUCUCCG
rnacentral:tRNA from 1 species